rnacentral:lncRNA from 1 species
UUCUUAAUUCUUCUCUUGGUUCUUAUCAUCAUCAUCCUCAUCCAUGUCCUUAUUAUCCGAUACAUUGCUUCGAGGAAGUUUGCUGAGCUCAUUUUUCCCAUCAUCUCCACAAAGAAAUUCCAAUCCAUAUUCAAUUUCUCUAGCUACUUUCUAGUUUAAGCAGAUGCAGACAUUGUGACCUUUCUUCCUUAUUCAAGUAAUACAACUCUUUGUUGAUAUUGGUUGUGGGCCGUGUGGCCACCAUGGUCAGUUGCAUUGGUUGCCCUGUAGCCAUUUAGAGUAGAUACUAUUAGUAUUGUCGAGAGACACGAUUUUCAAACAGCUAGAAUACUUUUAAUUCUUAAAAGAAGAAGAUCUUGCCAAGAUUGGAGAUGUUUCAGGCUUCGUCUGUUAGAAUUGUAUAGUUAGCAACAUAAUCUGCGAAUGUUCCUUGGCUGGUAUGAUAGUUGUAAAUCUUGCGGAUAGAAUAGUUUUCACAAAUAGGAUUUUGAUAUGGCUAAUUAAACAUCAUUGUAAUUGAAAGGAAGAGGCAGAUGUAUUAUGAAAUAAUAAGAAAGAGGAGGAAAAAAAAAACUUGAGACAACCUGCUACAAAAGAACAAACUGCACUAAGCAGUAAAACUGUUUGUGACAACAAACUAAAAAAGAAGAUGCUGAAAAUCAACUAUACAAUUUUAUAUUUCUCUAGCUCCUAUUAAUCCCGUCCACUCUCCCGUAAUCUACUCAACACCCUUAAGCCUGCAUCUAAUAACCUCCUUGAUACGAUUAAGAGAGGACCAUAAGCUUUAGCAGAUAACUUCCUGGUAGUUAAUGGGACUCCUAAGUACCUGACUGGAAAAGAUCCUACUUUGAAGACAGUGAUAGAUUGAAUUUCUAUAAGCACAUAGGCUUUGAUGCCAGAACAGAAAAUCCCAGAUUUUGAGCUAUUCAGUUGAAGGCCAGAUAUAACGUACAGAAAUAAUUUAGAAUAUUCUCUAUUGCUGCAACUGAAUUGAGAGUACCUUUGCAGAAAACCAUGAGAUCAUCUUCAAAGAAAACACGAUCAAUGAGUUGGACUUGCUUGCAUUUAGGAUGGAACUGAAUUUGAC